GAGGGUGGAGUUCAGUGGUACAGCACGUGCCUAACACGCACGACGUCCCGGGUUCAAUCCCCAGUACUUCCA
rnacentral:tRNA from 1 species